GGCGAUGUAGCUCCAACUGGAAGAGCAGUCGUUUCGUAAACGACCGUGUGUAGGUUCGACUCCUACCAUCGCCU
rnacentral:tRNA from 1 species